rnacentral:rRNA from 1 species
UGUGAGGAAGAUAAUGACGGUACUCAACAAGGAAGUGACGGCUAACUACGUGCCAGCAGCCGCGGUAAAACGUAGGUCACAAGCGUUGUCCGGAAUUACUGGGUGUAAAGGGAGCGCAGGCGGGAAGACAAGUUGGAAGUGAAAUCCAUGGGCUCAACCCAUGAACUGCUUUCAAAACUGUUUUUCUUGAGUAGUGCAGAGGUAGGCGGAAUUCCCGGUGUAGCGGUGGAAUGCGUAGAUAUCGGGAGGAACACCAGUGGCGAAGGCGGCCUACUGGGCACCAACUGACGCUGAGGCUCGAAAGUGUGGGUAGCAAACAGGAUUAGAUACCCUGGUAGUCCACACUGUAAACGAUGAUUACUAGGUGUUGGAGGAUUGACCCCUUCAGUGCCGCAGUUAACACAAUAAGUAAUCCACCUGGGGAGUACGACCGCAAGGUUGAAACUCAAAGGAAUUGACGGGGGCCCGCACAAGCAGUGGAGUAUGUGGUUUAAUUCGACGCAACGCGAAGAACCUUACCAAGUCUUGACAUCCUGCGACGGACAUAGAAAUAUGUUUUUCCUUCGGGACGCAGAGACAGGUGGUGCAUGGUUGUCGUCAGCUCGUGUCGUGAGAUGUUGGGUUAAGUCCCGCAACGAGCGCAACCCUUAUGGUCAGUUACUACGCAAGAGGACUCUGGCCAGACUGC